rnacentral:tRNA from 2 species
GGCGGAUGUAGCCAAGUGGAUCAAGGCAGUGGAUUGUGAAUCCACCAUGCGCGGGUUCAAUUCCC